UCAUAAAAAUCUUUUAAAAAAAAGAAAAUAAAGAACAGACGCCUCAGUAUUUGUUUCUCAAAGCAACAAUCUUCUCACAGCUAACAACCAGCUUCGCUUACAACAAACUUAGUACAUAGUAGCUCUCAACUAAAAAUCUGUGUUUUCUCAGAGAAAGCACAUGUCUGCCUAGCAGCAAACGCAACCCAGGUCGCAUUGAUUAGUGUUUCAUCUCAGUGUUCUCGAAACAGAGAAAGCAGAGGUUUGCGCAGCUGUGAACUUUUUUCGAUUUAAAACUCGUCUCGGAUCUUAGGUUAUGACACCUAGUAAGCGAUGGAUGCAACUUUCUCUUGAUAAACGGGUUGACCGGACCAAUUUAGAUGGGGUGAAAAAAAAAUUGGAUUAUGCUUUUCGAGGCUCUAUUGGUAAGGAACGAGGAACUGGACAUAAAAACUCCACCAUUCCUUCUAGUGAAGUUCAUACUCCCUUUCAUUCAUUUACUAAUCAAGUAAAGCAAUGUAUCAAAGAAGUUGAAACAAGUAUGUUUCUUUUCUAAAAUAUGUUUUAUUUUAAAUUCCAUGUAUAAUAGAAAGUAAAUGUCAAAGUUUUUAUAAUAUUACUUCUUGAUUCUAGGUGCUAUAGAAAAGGGAUGUGAGCAAAUGCCUAGAUUUUUCUGCUCAUUUUAGGGGUUUCUAAAAAUAAUCUGGAAUCUAGUCAAGGACUACUAUCAAUGGAUAAAAAUCCCCUUAUUCUUGAGAAAGAAAAAAACACGGAAAUCAAAUCCCAUGGUUCUACUGAUCAAGUAAGGCAACCCUCCAAAACAACAGAAACAAGAUCAUCUAAUCCUAAGAAGGUACAAAGGGUUCGAAGAACAAAAAAGUGUAAAGAAGUUGCAUCACUUGAAGCCAGAAAGAAGCUGAAAAUAACAUUCUACAAUAAUCGAACGGUUGGAACAAAUAGCAAUCUGUUUUUGAGGCACCUGGAAAAAUAAUUCGUGAUUAUAAAACAUGUGUCCAUUGGGAGUAUCAUUGUUUAGUGAUAUCAAGCAACAAAAUAUGGAUCAUACGUGGGCAGUUAUUGCAGUAACAAUUAUGAAUUACAUCGUUUAACUUGUUGACAACUUACUUUUCCUAUUCAAACAUUAAGCACUGCUGCAUAUCUUUUUCAUGCUCAAAUUUGUACAUACUUUUUGUCUAUUUGUCACACAAUGUUCACUUUCCUUUUUUUAUUUAAGCUCAUAUUUUAAUUGUUGUAGGAUAAAUUUGAGAGUGAUGACUUGAAUGAUCAUUGUGAUCAUAUAUUUUGAUGGAUGAAUGAGUUAUGGAACAAAUGGAGAUGAUACUUGCAUGCUACUUAUGUGAAGAAUAAGCCGAUCGUCAAGCUCUUAAGAAUAUUCCAAAAGGAGUAGAAAGGAAGGAAUGAGAGUGGUUAGUUAAGGAACAAUUUUGUUCUGAAAGUUUUCAGGCUUAAAUCAAAGAAAUACUAAAAGUUGAGUCAUCUCUGCUAGCAUAGAGAUUGUAGAAAAGUAUUGUGGACCUCAAAAUUGUAGCCAUGACUUUGGGGAUGGAGUAAAGGCAAAGGACAUGAGAGUUGACACUUCUUCAAAGGUUGAAUUACUGUCUGAGCUACGUUCAACUCAAGAGAAAAAUAAAUUAAAUGACGAAAAUAAAUCCUUGGAUGAUCGCUUGUUUACAUUAGAAGAUGGAAUGAAAGAGAUAAUAAAUAUGAAAGAGUUCUUUGCUGCUCAACAAUCACAUAACCUGCAUAUGACAUCACUUGUAUCAACUGAAUGGCCACUGACAUUUUUUGCUGACCAAGUCGAUUAUCCUCCUUCUCAAUCAAUUCAUUUUGAGAUUUAGUACAACCAUCUGCUUGAUUGUGGAGUAUCUCGGAGUUGUUGAAUUUUAUUAUUAGCUCGAUUUAAUUGUGCCCCUCCACUAUGGACACCACCUGUGUUUGGCUCUUGCUAAAACUCGGAGUUGUUGUUGGAAUUGAUCUCUGUAAUUUUUUUUUAUGUACCCCACAUUAUUGACAAACCAUUUGAAGAUCACUGUACAUAUAGUUAUUCUCUGUUUUUUAUUGAUCUUUGU